rnacentral:rRNA from 1 species
UACGAGUGCCCCGAGCGUUAUCCGGAAUCAUUGGGCGUAAAGGGUGUGUAGGUGGCAGUGUUAGUCAGUUGUUAAAACCUGGGGCUUAACCCCAGUCAUGCGACUGAAACGGCACAGCUAGAGGAUGGCAGGGAUGUAUAGAACUCAUGGAGUAGGGGUGAAAUCCGUUGAUAUCGGGAGGAACGCCGGUGGCGAAAGCGACUGUCUGGGGUGCCUGUGACGCUGAGGCGCGAAAGCCAGGGGAUCAAACGGG